rnacentral:rRNA from 1 species
GAUGAACGCUGGCGGCGUGCCUAAUACAUGCAAGUCGAGCGAACAGACGAGGAGCUUGCUCCUCUGAUGUUAGCGGCGGACGGGUGAGUAACACGUGGAUAACCUACCUAUAAGACUGGGAUAACUUCGGGAAACCGGAGCUAAUACCGGAUAAUAUUUUGAACCGCAUGGUUCAAAAGUGAAAGACGGUCUUGCUGUCACUUAUAGAUGGAUCCGCGCUGCAUUAGCUAGUUGGUAAGGUAACGGCUUACCAAGGCGACGAUGCGUAGCCGACCUGAGAGGGUGAUCGGCCACACUGGAACUGAGACACGGUCCAGACUCCUACGGGAGGCAGCAGUAGGGAAUCUUCCGCAAUGGGCGAAAGCCUGACGGAGCAACGCCGCGUGAGUGAUGAAGGUCUUCGGAUCGUAAAACUCUGUUAUUAGGGAAGAACAUAUGUGUAAGUAACUGUGCACAUCUUGACGGUACCUAAUCAGAAAGCCACGGCUAACUACGUG